CCUGUAUUGCCAGCGAGCUUAUUUCAUCUGGGUGGAAAGUUAGUGUGCAGUUGGACACAAAAUGUGCAGUUUGCGGGGGGUGGGUGCUGUUGGAAAAAUGAAACAUGCUAGAUGUUUGUUUUAAAAGAACUUAAAUUGCCCAAACCACUUUUUUUAAACGGCCAGAACCCCCUCUACUUCUCUCUUCUCCUCUACUUCAAUCUCGUAAAUACAUUUAAAGUUAGCACCUUAAGGCUAUAUUUCACGCUAUGUUCCUUCUUUUGCAGCCAAUGGUGGCAUAUUAUUAUGGAAGUAAAGGUAGAAGUUUUCUGUUUCCACGGAUAGUCGGGCCUUGCUUUCACUUUGGAGCACAGCACUUGAAUUAUGAGCCUCUAAAUGCCACCACUUCUGGGUUUGGCAGUGAAUACGCAGCCAAGGAUCAUAGCAGUGUUCUUGUAAUUUUGCAACCCUACAAAGAAUUUGUCCUUGUCUUGCAAAACCAUGGAGUGCACCACUCUCUCAGCACACUCAGUGACUAGUAUUUCACCAAUGGAAACAUAUUUAUUUAUGUUUUGAUUUCUUGGAGGUGUGCUAAGCUCACAAUUUUUAUUUCUUUUCCACACAAACAAACACAAACACAGAGGGCUUCUGCUGGGUAUGAGAGGCAGAGGAGAUUCAGUUAAUAAGCCAGACCAGAGAACUACUAUCAGUUUAUAAUUGCUUCUUUGGCUUUUGCUCACUCAACUCCUCCUUUCCGGCCUGUCAGAUAGUCCUGACCAAUCAUAGGCCUGCACUGAAUCUGUAACAGACUGUAUAAGAACCUUCUGAAAAGGCUUUGCUGGUUGGCAAUUCGAUUCUGCAGACAGUACAAAAUACUCUGGCAGAGGGAACUGAGCAGGCCAUCCUGCCAGUUGCAGAGCACACGGUAAACAGCUACCAAACUGACUCUGGGUGAAGAAGCAAACUAGGCAGUUUAUUGCUGCUUUGUUUUGGAACAUAUCUCUAAAGCAAGGCCAAAAAUCAGUAGACAAUAUUUCAUCUAAAGGGUUUUUGGUUUGGGGGGGGGGGUCAGACAAUCAGUUGAUCAGCAUAAAAGGAGAAGGGCAGGCAAUAAGGAACCUGUAGGCCCUGCAGAAAGAUCUGGGUCCUGUCCUCUAAUAUUUUUCAAUCUGAGAGAAUUUAACAGUGAAUCAUCACUUCAAUAACUUAGAAAAAAAUCAGGGCUGGAGGGCAGGGGAAAACUGCCACUGAUGGAGAUGGGUUUUGGUGGUGUUGUUUUUGGCGUUUCUUGCUAGCUAGGAACAAGCACAAGCCAAGGUUUCUGUCUGGUGCUAUACUGUAUUUUUAGUCAGGAACUAGGGAAUGGGAGAACAGCUUUAUUUAUUUAACCCUAAGCCCACAAAUACCCAAACAGGAAUACAGUGGUACCUCUAGUUGCGAACACAAUCCGUUCCGGGGUGCCAUUCGCACCCCAAAAAGUCUGCAUCACUUCUCUUUUUACUAGUAAUAAUUGGUUGAGUUUUUGUUACUUCAAUUUAUAUACCACCGUUUAUCAAAAGAUCUCAGGGCAGUGUACAACAUUAAAAAUGCAUUCCAGAACAUCAAUAAUAAAAGCAUAGUAAAAAGAAUACUGACAGAAAGACAAAUAAUAAAACAGUCCCUCACACUUUCAUGGGCUGUAGCCAUAGGCCUAGGUAAAGAGGAUGUUUUUGCCUGGCGCUUAAAGACUUUUAAUGAUGGUGCAAGGCAAACCUUUCUGAGGAGAGCAUUCCAUAGUCUGGGAAUAUUGUGAGAGGGAUCCAAGGACAUACCAGAAAUUUAGGUUUCUGGUAUGCAAUAAAUGAUUAAUGGGAAAAACACUGCACAAACAAAUCGGAAUGAAUGCUCAUUUCCAUAUAACCUCCCUGCAAGCAAAUCAGAAUCAACGUUCAAAAAGCAAGUCAUCUGGAGAGAUUUUGAGAACCACCAGAGGUUCUCACUAGAGAAAUUCAUUAAUUCCCUCUUCUUCCUACAAUCCCCACUGUCAUUCCCACAUGAAGAUUUUGCAGGCUAGCAACUUUUGUGGGCUUAUUUACAUAGCUGAUUUUUAUGAAAAACCAUUUAGACUGAGUCAGUUAUCCAGGCACAUUUGAAAAAGACUAAUCAAGAAAUUGUGUUACUUCCUUCUGGAAUACAGAGAUUAUCCAAAAGGAACUUAAGCAUCAUAUUAAUUUGUGUUGCAGGGUGAUACUAAUGAGUGAACACAAACAUUUUUAUUCUCUUUCUCCUCUUUUCUGCUUUACAAAUUUCCAUUUUCUGAAAAGCAUUUGUGAGCUACUUCCAAAGGAUAAAGGAUGGAAAUCUAGGAAUUUUGCCAAGCAGUGUCAGAUGUGAUGUGGGUGUGUUUGGGUGUUAGAUAUUUGAGAGACAACCUGCUGGUUUCUUUCUUUCUGUCCAGUACUACUUGGCAUGGAAUUCAAAGGAAGAUUCUCUUCAUUGUGAAUCUGCCCAGAGUCAAUGCCUAAGCUCCACCUUUGAUAUUUUGGUGAGCCACAUGUACACAGAUUUGCCUUUAAGACAGCUUUCCACUACACUUUGUUCUGCUGGAGAUGCUUUCAUUUAAGUUGACCAUUCUAUCCGGUGCUAUUUUUCUAGAAAAAGAGGUGCCAGAAUUCACAGUUAACACCUCCCUUGUUCUAUUAAGAAUGGCCAUGGCUCCCACCUGAGAGGUGCCAGAACUGAGUUCCUGUGAGUUCACCCUGGGGGGAAAAGGCCUGAUUCUAUCCUUCCUUUUCCCAUUGCAGAAAUUUGGACAGGCAGUAUACCUGAAGGAGCAUCUCCACCCCCAUCGUUCUGCCCGGACACUGAGGUCCAGCGCCGAGGGCCUUCUGGCGGUUCCCUCAUUGCGAGAAGCAAAGCUACAGGGAACCAGGCAGAGGGCCUUCUCGGUAGUGGCGCCCGCCCUGUGGAACGCCCUCCCAUCAGAUGUCAAAGCGAUAAACAACUACCUGACAUUCAGAAGACAUCUUAAGGCAGCCCUGUUCAGGGAAGUUUUUAAUGUGUGACAUUUUAGUGUAUUUUUGGUCUCUGUGGAAGCUGCCCAGAGUGGCUGGGGAAACCCGGCCAGAUGGGCGGGGUACAAAUAAUAAAUUAUUAUUAUUAUUAUUAUUAUUAUUAUUAUUAUUAUUAUUAUCUCUGAAUACUCAAUGCUGGGGACAAACAACAAGGGAGGGUUCUUGGCUUCAUGCUUUGCUUGUGGGAUUCCCACAUUUAUCACACAGAAAAAAGAAAAAUAGUCUAGGUGGACCCUGUGUCUGAUUCAAAAGGUGUGUGUACACACAUUUGUUUCCUUCUGUACCACAUUUUUUUUAAGAUGCUCAUUCUGCUCUGAAUUCCUCCUGCCCUCGAUUUCCAAGGUUCUUAGAUGAGAAGGGGUGAGCAAGAUCACUUCCCCAAAUGUCAUCUUCUCAUCAAGCUCUUUUUACACAGAGCUUCUUGUUAGAUGCCAGAAUUACCGCACACUGAUUAUACAGCCUGCAGAGCCUUCCCCUGGUUCACUUAUGAUGAAUGUAAGAAAUGUUCUUAUCCAGCUCCGCCACAUUGAAGGAUAGAUGGUGCGGCAGUCUUCUGUGAUGUCACAUGUUUUCUUACUGUCAGGGAUGAUGUGUUGAGAAGGUAGGGGAUUUGUCUCCCACUGAAUUAGUAAUGUGGCAGAUUAUAAAGGCGUUAUGUUUGAGUGUAUGCCUGGGCAGUGAGCCUAGCAAUCCAUUAGGCAUUCAGACCUUUGGCAGGAGCUCAUCUCACAGGAAAAAUGGCCUUCACCCAG
rnacentral:lncRNA from 1 species